UACGUAGGGGGCUAGCGUUGUCCGGAUUUAUUGGGCGUAAAGAGCGUGUAGGCGGCCAGGUAGGUCUGCUGUGAAAACUCGAGGCUUAACCUCGAGAUGUCGGCGGAAACCAUCUGGCUAGAGUCCGGAAGAGGAGAGUGGAAUUCCUGGUGUAGCGGUGAAAUGCGCAGAUAUCAGGAAGAACACCAAUGCGAAGGCAGCUCUGUGGA
rnacentral:rRNA from 1 species